rnacentral:lncRNA from 1 species
UUUAAUGACAAGUCCAUAACCUUACUGUUCAAAACUUACCUGAGUGGUAGGUUAUGCCAAACAUUUAUUAUAGAAUCUCAUAGAAUUGCACAUUUAAAGUCUCUAUUCUUUAUACAUAUCAGAGUCUUGGAUAGUUGGAAAGAAAUUGAAGGAAAAAUAAUGCAUUGGAUUGGAAAUAUUACUGUUAAUGAUGGUUGAUUAUUAUGUGCAAAACUUGUUUACAGCUUAGAGUACAUUUUGAUUUCAAUUUCACCAGAUUAUUAUUGAUUUCCCCCCUUAUUUUCUAUUUUAGAAAUCUUGCACCAAUAAUUAAGUUUUGGUUCAGCACAUGGUGGAAGGAAAGGUAUCUUGCUGUGGCCUUUACCAAAUUCAAGCUAUGGACUUAAACUUGAUCACAUAUUCUUCUAUUGGGUCAUAAGCCCUACUGAGGGUGAAAUACAAUUUUUCUCAGUUAAUUACACAAUAUGCUUGACUAUAGGGAAAAAAUUCCUGAAAAAGAAAACUUGAAAAAAAUUGUAAAAUAAGGGAAUAAUUUGGAAGGCAUUGCAGGAGUAGAUGGAUAAGAGUGAAAAGUUAAUUGAAACUCUUGAGGAAAUAAGAAUCAGAAAAAUGAUGCCGUUUAAAAAAAAAAACAACUAAUGUGUAGAUGUUUAGACUUCAGCUUGGGCUUUCUGCAGUUUUAUUAUCUGUUCAGCAGAUAGUUAUUUAAUUAUUUCAGUUGAUCUUUCUUUUAAUAAAGGAAGCAUGUAACUCAGAGUAAAAUAAAAUAACUCCAGGUUAGAACUAGAGCAAUUUGACCACCAUCUGGAAGAGUGACCUGGUUGAUGACCUUUCACAAUUCCACUUUACUGUCCUCCAUGUUCUUUGAUGUGGAGCUAGAAUCUCUCACCAGGAAGUAAUUUAUAUGCAGAAAAAUGAUAUCAACAUAGCUCUAGGGAACCAUCUUCCUUUAUUUAUUAACUGCAUGUUUCUUUAAUGGGAAUUUCAAUAAAAAUAAGCAUUCAAUAUUUAAAUAUUUAGUUUCUAAGUAAUUUUUGAGAUGCAUAUUUCAACUUUUACAUUCUUAGCAGGAUUUUUUUUAAGAGUGCCAGACUUAGCUUUUAAUUUUAGUUAUUAAAGCUUUAUUGAGAUCUUUAUUUAAAUAAAGUACUUUGUAAUAUUUCUCUAGUGUGUAUUUUGAAUAUAUAUUCAUUUCUCAUAAUAUUAUUACUUCAAAAAAGUCAUGUGGGACUUGUUAGACUUUUUUAUAUAAG